AAAAAAGCUAUUUUUAGCACAUAAGUCACAGUCAAGGUCACAAGGUCAUUGACCUUGGUGUCAGUUGAAAGUGCCUUAUCAGUGGAGUGUGCAUAUCAAAUAUGAAGUCUCUAUCUCUUACGGUUCAAAAGUUAUGGUGAAAGUUUGAAAAAACUAUUUUUAGCCUAUAGGUCACAGUCAAGGUCACACGAUCACUGUUCUUGGUGUUAUUUGAAAGCACUUUAUUGGUGGAGUCUGCAUACCAAAUAUUAAGUCUCUAUCAUGUAUGGUUCAAAAGUUAUGGCGAAAAUUUCGAAAAAAGCUAUUUUUAGCACAUAGGUUACAGUCAAGGUCACAAGGUCAUUGACCUUGUAUCAGUGGAAAGUGCUUUUGUAGUGGAAUAUCCAAACCAAAUAUGAUGUCCCUUAGUGUCACUGUUCAAAAGUUUUGGCAAACGUUAAAGUUUACAACAGACAGACAAACAGACAGACAAACAGCUAAACAGACAGACAGGACAAAAACAAUAUGUGCCCCGAAAAAAUUUGGAAGCAUAAAAACUGUCUUAGAGUUAACAGCAGUUCUCUGUUUCUCCUGAAUGUGUUAUGUGAAAUUUGAUCGGGAUCGGAAGAAUGUUUCAAAAAGUCGGGCUCAGUGAUCAAUUAAUUUAUACAACAGACCGCCAAAAUUUAACCUUGGCAUCCAUGUUGUAACGUCUGCUCUGUGUAAAGGAGGAAGUUUGUUGACCUGAGACAGCCCGAGAUCGUAUUGCUGUAUCAACCAAAGGAUGUAGAUACACGUAUUUCAUAUGCGCGUCUGUGCAGAAGGAGGAGAUAUUUUGAAAAAGAAUAAGUGGUUAUUCAACUAACUGCGAUUUUAACAGGCUUAAAGCGGGUCCAUGGAUGGUUAUGUAUGAGGAUUUGCCCAUUCGACCGCAAGUGCUGCUGUAAGAAAUUAAACAUGCAGUGACCUUACAAAUUACAAAGAAGUCUGAAGAAAAUUUUUAUUGGACAGAUGGGUGUAAAGCACAGACCUUAGAGAUAUAAUAACUGAAUAUUGUGAGAAAUAUGAAUCAGGAAUGCAGGUAGAAAAUGGCAAAUGUGAUCCAGAUUGAUAAAAAAUGUCUAUAAAAUUGCUUUUUUUUUGUAAAUAUUCAAUGCUAUGUCAAUUGUUAUUUUUUCUUCAAUAUCUGAUAGUAUUGAACUUUUCACUACCACUUUUGCUUAAAUAGAAUGAAUAGAUUUCCAUUUGAUUAAUAUAAAUAUAAAAAAAAUGCCACAUUCUUAUUUUUUUUUCCAUGAUGAAUUUGUGGCUGAAAUAGAGUUCAAAUUUUUUCCAAUUACAUGCUCAUCUGUUUGUUUGUCAAAGAUAUAUGCUCCAAUACAUUGCUCAUGAACAUAAUGUGUAAUUUUUUCAUUCAUUUAUGUUUUUCUCAUAAUGAUAUAAUAAAUUGUAUAUAAAUUUGUACAUUGUUUAUGGUUUUGUAAAUAUUUAUAUGUAUGCAUCAUGUUAUUCAUGUAGCGGUUUUAGGCCAUUUUAUAACCAUGUGAUUAACUCCAUAUUUUCUCCAGA